ensembl:lncRNA
GAUUUUUUUGCUGAAUUUUUGGAUUUUUUUCAGACAAGUAAACAAUAUUUUUUGGUGAAGACAACAGGAGGGUUAACGUGUUUUCUUAAUACUUCUCAUAUCAUAUUUAUAUUUAGCUCAAAAAUUUGUAGAAAAGAUGCUUAAAAUUCCUGCGUAUAAAAAGAAGAAGUAAACAAAGAUGUUUUUGAAUUCUUAAGAUUUUAUUCAUCAAAUGUACAGUUGAUAUUAUUCGUUCUUGAAAACGCUAACUGUCCACUUGGAUUUUAAAUUGAUCUUUUUCUAACUAGAUGAUGAUUAAAACUUAUGGAAAAGUCACGAAACGAGGAUCCUAUAUCGAGCUAAUUUUAGCAACUUUAUUCCUGCGACAGACUGAAUUUCAAAGAGUGAAAUAAAAAUAAAAAAAGCUACUGAACUAAACCAAAGAAAUGUGGUUCAUUUAAGUCAACAAAAGUGAAAUCAAGUCGAGGUGAAACAACAUUCAAGUAUUGUUUUUAUUAUUUCCAAACACCCACAACUUCCAACAUUCAUCUUUCAGUACAGAGUUUCCCACAUCUGGAAUUAUUGCUUCAGCUGUUCUGUUUUCUGCCAUCAAAAGCUUAUAAUCAGGAUUGUUUAGUUUGUCAAACCAGGUCGGCCAUACUCAAUCUAACUGUUGGCACUCAACCAUCCAGUAAUAAGUAAAAAUAUCUAAAAAGAAAAAAGAAAUAAAAACUCCAAACAACGUGCUACGAUAAUGUUCCCCUACGAAACAAUAAAGGAGCAAAGAAAAAUAUCUAUAAUACUUGUAAUCAUCCAUACAUUAUCGGAAUAAACAGUCAUCUCCAAAACUAUAGAGAAAGAAAUGAGAAGAAAAGUGGAAUUUCAGUUCAUUUUGAUGGGAAAUACGUUCAGUUUAAGGGUUGAAUAGUUUCCUAGAUAACAUUAGAAUCAAUUAAUCCACCUUCUGUUGCUCAGUUUGAGAAUGACGAAUAAAACGUCUUUUUAUUACUCUUCAUUGUGCCGAUUGGAAUCGGCAGCAUUCUCAUGAAACACAUCUAAUAUCUGAAAAACUUCUGAACCCUGUGAAGCUGCUUCUAGAUAACUGAAGGUGCAACUGGUGACGCUAUGGAUUCAAGUCUAAACUGUGACGUUUCUUUAUGUCCUCGCGUUAUAAUUUGGUCUACGUUUGGCCAAAGAAACGGCACAAAUGAACCUUUAAACUGAGCGGCGUUCCCCUUUAAGGCCUCCAGGAGGUGCUAACACAUCUUGAGGCUUCCAGUCAGGAGAAGAGAGAAGCAGGAGAUCUGUGAGGAGGUGGUAAAACAGCUGUUUGCUCUUUGGCCACGUCUGCUUUAACAGUGUUAGGCUUCAUUUUAAGACAAAAAGAGGGAACAUUUCCACCGUGUCGACUGGUUGUAAGGAAUAAGGCAGCGAAUAUCUCCAGUAGGGAAAGGAAAUAUUGUUUCUUAAGGCGUUUCCAGAGCUGGAAGAUUCAUUUGCUGAUGUUUGACACUCAUUUGGAACAAUCAAAGUGAAAUUAAGGCUUAAAAUUCAAGUUUUCUGUGUGCAACAUGAAGCCACUUCUAAUAAUAUUCAGUUAUCUGUGUUUGGUGACUCUGCACAACCAUAAGUAUGAGUAUAAGUCUGACAGAAAUCUCUUCAUUUUCUUGUUAUUUCUGACUAUUUGAUGAACAGAAAUGCUACCUAAAUUAAACCCUGACUGACAACAGUGGUUAAAUCAUUGAAUUUGUAGAUUUAUUCUCAGUUCUGAUCAUCUUGGUGCUGAUGAUUCUGAACACCUUGAAUGAAACGCCUCCAGAUCUGUGUGCAGUUUAGAGUUUUUAGUCAACAUUAAUGAACAUCCACUGUUCAAUAGAGAUUCUGUGUCUGCUUCUGCAGAGAAAAGGCCUCUGUUUGCCAAACAUUCACGUGUUGUCAGGUGAAAACCCCGUGACUCUGACUGAAUUUGGUGAUUGCUCUACAUUUGUAGCCAGACGACUUUAGGAGAAUUUAGGAGAGAAAAUUGUUUGGAAAGCAGCGUUUUCACUGAGAAAGUUUAAAAUAAAUUGCUGCUAGUAUGCAUGUAGGCACCGUGAACUACUGCAUGGACGUGUGUGUGUUCUGUCAGUCAGUAAAGAUCUGAUCCUGUGGCUACACUGAACCUGUCGCCGGGCGGACGUGUCGUGGAACGUAUCGUACAUCGUAGGGUGAAGGUGAGCUUUCAUUUUGGGAUUGUCGUGUCUUCAGGUUUUAGAUGCAAGUUUGUGUAACGUUUAAGUUAACACCUACAGGUUAAAGUUAGCUGGUACUGACAAAUAAACGCUGCAGGGUGUUCAUUUCCUCUGUACCUGUAGCUUCAUUUCACACAAUAUUCACACUUUAACCCGACUGUUGUCCUGCAGGUCAAAAUUGACCCGGUUAAAGGUUUGAAAAUGUGGAAAGAAAAAAAAAAUUCAGUGAAACUUCUGAUGUCCACAUUUUCAACAUUUUUGGGAAAUCUUUGAACAUUUUUUGGUGGAAAAAAGAAAUGUUAAAAAUGUUUCUUAAGAACAUUCACAUAAAAAUCGAUUUUUAUGUGAAUGUUCUUAAAGAAAAUAUUAGAAGUUUUACUGAUAUAUAUGGAAUCACUUUAGAUAUUUUUAGGAUUUUUUUUGAAGAUUUUUACUAAUUUUUUGAAAAUAUUUACAAGAAUUUUCUUGCCAAAUUAGGGGGAUUUUUUUUUUUUUUUAAAUAAAACUUUUAAGGGAAACUUUUAAGGAAUGAUUGGAAUUUUCUUAUUGAAGGUUUUGCAAAUUUGCAGAAAUUUGGGGAAUUUUUUUUGCUGAAUUUUUGGAUUUUUUUCAGACAAGGAAACUAUAUUUUUUGGUGCCCGUAAAUGAAGACAACAGGAGGGUUAAGAUCUGUUUCUAUGCACUAAAACUAUAAAUAAAAGAUUGCUCCAUUGUUUUGUGUACAUUGAUUACAGUCUGCUUACAUUCAGUGUAGCCAUAGUUUGAGUUUCCUUUCACAUGGAUGAAGUCAUGUUCCAGACGUCACUGACUGCUGAAGCUCUGAUGGGAUGUUGCCGUUGAAACAUCCCAUAAGGUUGAAAAGCUGCCCGGAAGCGGUGUUAAAAGCUGACGAUGUGGUGCCAUUUUCUCUACUGCAGACCAAAGACAUAAUUUUUUCCACUUCAAAACUUUUUAUUUUUCCAAGUCGCGCGGUGCAGGAACCCAAACAACAGCAGAUCAUUAAAACUAAAACCAGCAGUUUACAGGCCAAACACGGAUCCCCCCAAACUAGGUUCAGUCAUUUUACAUCAUUCUUUAAGACUCUAAUGAUUUGUGCAGAGAUUUUUAUGACUUUCUAAUGAAGGCGGUCGCCAGUUUCAGCUGUAAACGUGACUCCAUCCAUUGUGUAUGUCUUCAAGGCAUCUGAAGUUCAAACCUCUGUGCUGCUUCCUCCCAUUAUUAAAACCCCGUUUCCUGGGUAGUGAGGAGUGUUGUUCAAAUGUGUUAGUCAUAUUAGGCUGACAUGAAUCGCCCGUCUGUUCCAAAACCACACCCAAGUUAAGUCACUACGACUGAAGGCACUGUUUAAACACGUCUGCCUCGUCCACCUCCAUACCCUCCCAC